rnacentral:lncRNA from 1 species
GGCCUGCGCAUGCGCGCGCCCCAGGGCCCAGCCCUGUUCCUGCUCCGGCUCCUGCGGGGAUGGAUGCUUCACGCAGUAAGCGACCUAAGUCGCGGAAGCGUAGACACCCGGCUUUUCCCGCGUGCUCUAUCGGGCUCCCCUGGACACGGAGGGUGGAGCAGAAAGAGCAGAGGGGCCGGUGGGAGCCAUGGGGAGUCCGCCUAGCUCCAGAGGAAAGUGCUGCUUUCAACAUCUGCCACAUUUGCAAGAAGAGCAAAGGUGGCCCAUUUGAGACCACCCUUGAACUAAACCAUCCAGUGAGCCCCUGAGGUCGGGACAGAAGUGGCCAUGACCUUCCUCAAGCAGGGACUGUGGUGGAGCCCACCUUAUCCAGCACAAGGUGGCCUGCUGACUUCUGGUGACAGUGAUGCCAACUUCCUGGCUGUCCAAGGUUCAAAUCUUGGUCUUAAUCCUCCUGGCCUUCUCUCAUCAAUGGCCAGAGCCACCCUAGCUAACAAGGUGCCCAGGGACUCCGGGGUGGGAGAAGUCCAGCUUCUUCUUAGCUGAGGACAUUUGAGUCUCGUCACAGCCCCCAAAAGAAUACUCAUUUUUGUAGCUGGAGGGCCUGGCCUCUGUCUAUCUUUGCUUUUCCAGAAGCUGACAAGUACCUGCCGGAAAAACUGCCUCUUUUCCCUCCCGUGCUUGGAGCAGGCAUUGCUGACAGAUCACAGCUGCUGGGCCCAAAGGUCCCUUUGCACGCGGGACUUCAGGAAGUUGCUGCUGACCUAUGGGAGUUGGUGCAGAAAGAUGAAAUUUGUUAUCCUUGGCUGUAUCAACUCUCUCUCCUCUCCUUGGUGGUGAUAGUUUUGUUCUUAAAAGCCUCUUGUGAGAGAAUUUGUGGAUGAAGAACCUGUAAGAUCACAAGUGAAACAAUUUAUUGAUGUCAAUAGAUUUAUACACGUUCAUUAAGAAUCAAAACUAAACUAAAACAUCAGUCUGACUAAAGAGACCACCACAGAUAUUUCAUAUGCUGUACAUCAGUAACAAAGGGUACCAAAUAGUUAAUAUCCAUGUACUAGUCACAUGAGAAAUGUUUUAGGGUCAUUGACCAGUGUAGUCAGUACAGUGGUCCCAUGGUAUUUGUGGGGGAUUGGUUCCAGGAAUCUCUUGGACACCAACUCCGUGGAUGAUCAGACAAUAUAAAAUGUGGGUCAGGUGCGGUGGCUCAUACCUGUAAUCCCAGCAUUUUGCGAGAAUCACUUGAGGCCAGUUCAAGAUCAGCCUGUGCAACAUAGCAAGACUCCACCUCUAAAAAAAAAAAAAAAAAAAAAAAUUAGCCCAGUGCAGCGGUGUGCACCUGUAGUCCCAGCUUCUCAUGAGGUUGAGGUGAAAAGAUCACUUGGGCCCAGGAGUUUGAGGCUGCAGUGAGCUGUGACUGCCACUGCACUCCAGCCUGAGUGACAAAGCAAGUCCCUGUCUCUUAAAAAAUAAAAUAAAAUAAUAGCAUUUGAAUGUAACCUA